GCCAUGAGAAGGAAACGAGGGAAUGACCCUUCGAAGACCUAAACGGCGGCCGGAAAAGCGCUUCCUCCAUAAGCACUUUUUCACUUUCAAACGCGAACGACACAACCUCCUGCGUUUUCGAUGCUCCACACAGCUUCGGGAGUGAGAGGAGCCAACGCCAACGUCCGGAGGAUCCACCAUCGGAUACGAAACAACGCGACUCCGUCAUUGCUGAUAUCCGUCAAUGGCACGGACGCGAUCUUAGACUAUACGCACGAAGGUGAAGAAAACUCGAAAGCGAAGAUGAAACGAAAGAGCUUACCAAGUGGAAGCGUCAACCUGAACUGGCGGAUCUACGCUCUAUCUUCUUGUUAGCUCGCGUCCCUUCCCUAUGAUGCGUUGCUUGCUGUUUCUUUGUUUGAAAAGAAGCGAAGAUCGGAGACGAGUUAACGGAUGAGAUCGUCGGGAUCGAGAAGAAGCGGUGGUGAACUCUUAGAAUCUAUCACUGCUACAGUCGCUGAAGGCGGAGGAGGUAGCGUUCAGUUAUGGUGAAGUGUUGAGGUUCAAUCAGGCAUUCCGUUACAGGUUAUGGUUGGUAGCGGUUAUGAUGAAGAGGAGUUCUUGGAUGGAUUCGCAGUGGUUGAAGGUUGAGGCUGAAGGAUUGGAGGAGUUUGUGAUUUCUGACUGCGAUUUCGUCGUGACCGCACCGUUGCGAAUUGGUACGCUCCUCUCUUUUCUCUGAUUUCAGUGGAGUAAGAAUUGAAAAAACGGUUUCGGUUGUUGACGAUUGGAGUGUGGUGUAGGUGAAGGUUUGGUGAAGGUUUGAUGAAGGUGGAGCUCACGGUUUCGGUUACGGUUCUGGUUGAAGACGAUUCCAGAUCGUGAUUGUGAAGUUUGUUAGAAUUCCUUCGGAUUGGUUGAUGAGAGAGCGAGGGGGUUUUGGAAGCAGUGGUUCUUAAGAGGUUCGAAUGGUUCAGAGUUGAGAGAAGGUCUUGGUGAAUGAAUGGAAGUUAUGAAGGUUGAUGUUCAAUGGUGGUUGGUUGAAGCGAUUGUGAAGUCAUGGUUGUUAGAACGGUUGAGGGUUGUGAGAAGUGGUGGAGUUGAUGGUGGUUUGAAGGUUGGUUGAUGAUGGUUGAAGAUGAUGGAGUGAAGUUUUGGUUGAAGAAGAAGAAUCUCGGUUGGGAAGAGGAAGUUGAAGUGGUGGUUCUUGAUGUUGAAGAUUGGAGAAGAAAGUGAAGGUUACGGUUACGGUGAUAGAAGGUGAAGACUAUGGAGUUUGGUGAAGGAAUUGAAGAGAGGAAGCAGAAACCGAAUUUGAGAGAGGGAAGGAGAAUUUAUAGAGUUUGAGUUUUUUUGGUUAUAGUUUGUUAGUUAGUUGUGAAUGAAAAAUUCUGUUAUGGAUUGGUGAUGGCUCGCGUUUA